AUUGAACGCUGGCGGCAGGCUUAACACAUGCAAGUCGAACGGUAGCAGGAGAAAGCUUGCUUUCUUGCUGACGAGUGGCGGACGGGUGAGUAAUGCUUGGGAAUCUGGCUUAUGGAGGGGGAUAACGACGGGAAACUGUUGCUAAUACCGCGUAUUAUCGGAAGAUGAAAGUGCGGGACUGAGAGGCCGCAUGCCAUAGGACGAGUCCAAGUGGGAUUAGGUAGUUGGUGGGGUAAAGGCCUACCAGGCCUGCGAUCUCUAGCUGGUCUGAGAGGAUGACCAGCCACACUGGAACUGAGACACGGUCCAGACUCCUACGGGAGGCAGCAGUGGGGAAUAUUGCGCAAUGGGGGGAACCCUGACGCAGCCAUGCCGCGUGAAUGAAGAAGGCCUUAGGGUUGUAAAGUUCUUUCGGUAUUGAGGAAGGUUGAUGUGUUAAUAGCACAUCAAAUUGACGUUAAAUACAGAAGAAGCACCGGCUAACUCCGUGCCAGCAGCCGCGGUAAUACGGAGGGUGCGAGCGUUAAUCGGAAUAACUGGGCGUAAAGGGCACGCAGGCGGUUAUUUAAGUGAGGUGUGAAAGCCCCGGGCUUAACCUGGGAAUUGCAUUUCAGACUGGGUAACUAGAGUACUUUAGGGAGGGGUAGAAUUCCACGUGUAGCGGUGAAAUGCGUAGAGAUGUGGAGGAAUACCGAAGGCGAAGGCAGCCCCUUGGGAAUGUACUGACGCUCAUGUGCGAAAGCGUGGGGAGCAAACAGG
rnacentral:rRNA from 1 species